rnacentral:SRP_RNA from 1 species
UCUGGGCACAGUGGUGCAUACCUAUAGUACCAGCCACUCAGGAGGCUGAGGCAGGAGGAUCACUUGAGUCACAGGAAUUCUGGGUUUUAGUGCAUUAUACCAAUUGGGUGGGUAUCUGCUUUAACUUCAGCAUUAGUGCAGUGACCCCUCAGAAGCAGGGGACCACCAGGUUGCCCAAGGAGGGUGAACCGGCCCGGGUAGCAAAUAGAGCAGAUCAAAUAACUCUCCUAUGCUGAUCAGUAGUGGGAUUGCACCUGUAAAAAGCCACUACACUCCAGCCUGGACAACAUAGUGAAACCCGUCUCU